UGUGGAAUAUUGCACAAUGGGGGAAACCCUGAUGCAGCGACGCCGCGUGAACGAAGAAGGUAUUCGUAUCGUAAAGUUCUGUCCUAUGGGAAGAUAAUGACAGUACCAUAGAAGAAAGCUCCGGCUAAAUACGUGCCAGCAGCCGCGGUAAUACGUAUGGAGCGAGCGUUGUCCGGAAUUAUUGUGCGUAAAGGGUACGCAGGCGGUUUAAUAAGUCGAAUGUUAAAGAUCGGGGCUCAACCCCGCAAAGCAUUGGAAACUGAUAAACUUGAGUAGUGGAGAGGAAAGUGGAAUUCCUAGUGUAGUGGUGAAAUACGUAGAUAUUAGGAGGAAUACCAGUAGCGAAGGCGACUUUCUGGACACAAACUGACGCUGAGGUACGAAAGCGUGGGGAGCAAACAGG
rnacentral:rRNA from 1 species